CAAAAUAUUGUUCAGACAUCUGCCCCGGUUUCCUGCAAAGUUGGGAGAACUGAGGAAAUGCCCCCGGAUUUCAAAGGCCCUCUAUCAACGUUAUUUGUAAGACUGGGAGGAAAACCGCAGAGGAUCUGAGAGGCAACCCGUCGUUGGCAAGAUCUCGACUUCUGAAUUGACUCACGUUGUCCAUCAGGGAGCUUUGGCCUCGGCGUGGCAGCACAGACUGCACCGUGAUCUUUGCAGAGUGAUGGAUGCAGGGGAAGCCAGCAGAUGGUUUACAGGGAUGUGGCCAAGGCACUAAUAGCAACAGAGCCCAGCGCUUGCAAUUGCUUAGUCAGCUGAGGCCUUCACAUACCGCACAGACGAGGAAAUGGGCUGUUACAGGGUCGUGUGAGGACAGGAGUGGAGCCUGAGUCCUGGUUGGACUAAGCAGAUUUCCUCUAAUCUCCUCAGCACUUAGUCACGGGGGGUGCAGCCCUAUGGAGCUUCACAAAAUUCUCUACGAGAGUCUCUCAUGCUUUGUAUGAUUUCAUGCUCCUAGGAUAUUUUCUGCCAUCUUUUGGUGAUAUUCGGAGCUCACCGAAUUAGGAAAGUUUUCAUGUGUAUGGAAGUUGUCUUUGUAUACCAACGUUCUAGGAUUUUUUUUCCUUUUAUUUUUGAUGUCACUCUUUUUUUUUUUUUUUUAUUCCAGUAUCGUUAACAUGCAGUGUUACAUUAGUUUCAGGGGUACAAUAUAGUGAUUCAAAAUGCGAUACACAGCUCCGUGCUCAUCGUGGACUGUCGCCGUUCCAGUCCCUGGGGACUCGGUAGUGUACAAAAUAAAGUCUUCACCUUUGUGGAACUUACAUUACAGAAGAGGCAGUCUGCUGAAUAAUAUUCCACUGCACGUGUAUAGCGUUUGUUCAUCCAUUCGUCCGUUGGCGGACACGCGUGAAUGGUGCUGCUGUGAACAUGGGUGGACGAAGAUCUCUUCAAGCCGCUGCUUUUGAUUCUUUUGGGUCGACGCCCAGAGGUGGAGUUGCAGGAUCAUGGGGUAAUUUCUGUGGGUCUCUUUCAAUGGCGGAGGAUGGGAACCUCCACCAUUCCUUAACGUUUCUCAGUGGUUUUCUACCGCCACCAGGACCAAGUGUCAAGUCGGGUGAACGUGGCUCAGACAUCCCACACGGUGUAGUCCUCGCCCAACUCUCAAAGUCCCCACAUCCACCUUCUGACUUCUAGCGAACUUCUUUGAAUCCCUGCAACAGGCCGCGUGGUUUCCUCUUCUGAGAACUGACCUCCGACCCCAGCUGGCUUGUGCUUAUUGUUAGUUCCCCCUGAGGACUUAUGCUUCUCAGCCCACCAAGUUCAGGUAAGGUUUCUAAUGCCUCUGUCCUGUGUGCUCCCCCAGGACCUUGCCUUGCCUACCGUAUGCGUGGCCAUCCUUAAGCACUGUCCUACCUCACUCUUGCCCUUGAUACGGUAGAUGCUGUGUCUGACACGGACCUACUACCUACCUCCCAGUGGAAAGAGUACUUAUUGAAUAAAUGAACAAAGGUGGACAUACAA